ensembl:snoRNA SNORD33 Small nucleolar RNA Z195/SNORD33/SNORD32 family
CUUGUCGGUGAUGUUUAACACAGUAAAUAUUUGAGUUUUACGACUAUGAGAAUAUUUUACAUGCACUACCAUCUGAGACUAA